UACGGGGGGGGCAAGCGUUGUUCGGAAUUACUGGGCGUAAAGGGCUCGUAGGCGGCCAACUAAGUCAGACGUGAAAUCCCUCGGCUUAACCAGGGAACUGCGUCUGAUACUGGAUGGCUUGAGAUUGGGAGAGGGAUGCGGAAUUCCAGGUGUAGCGGUGAAAUGCGUAGAUAUCUGGAGGAACACCGGUGGCGAAGGCGGCAUCCUGGACCAACACUGACGCUGAGACUCGAAAGCGUGGGGAGCAAACAGG
rnacentral:rRNA from 1 species